GACGAACGCUGGCGGCGUGCUUAACACAUGCAAGUCGAACGGAAAGGCCUGCUUUCCCUUGUGGAUUGCGGGUACUCGAGUGGCGAACGGGUGAGUAACACGUGAGUGAUCUGCCCCCAACUUGGGUAUAAGCCUGGGAAACUGGGUCUAAUUCCCGAUAGGACUGCAGGGUGGUGCCUGUGGUGGAAAACGAUUUUCUAGUGGUUGGGGAUGAGCUCGCGGCCUAUCAGCUUGUUGGUGGGGUAAUGGCCUACCAAGGCGGCGACGGGUAGCCGGCCUGGGAGGGUGGACGGCCACAUUGGGACUGAGAUACGGCCCAGACUCCUACGGGAGGCAGCAGUGGGGAAUAUUGCACAAUGGGCGGAAGCCUGAUGCAGCGACGCCGCGUGGGGGAUGACGGCCUUCGGGUUGUAAACUCCUUUCGACCGCGAGGAAGCCACCUGGUUGGAAGGGUGGUGACGGUAGUGUUAGAAGAAGCACCGGCUAACUACGUG
rnacentral:rRNA from 1 species